UCAAAUUCUUUCUCUUCUCUUCUGCUGUCUCCAGGUACUGUCAUGUCCACUUUCCAGACUUUUUGUUUUUCUUAUCAUUGCUUGUUAAGUCUGAGAUGUUAGCUGGCUAGUGCUUGUCUGUCUAUUCUAAAGUCCCAGAACUCUUUAACUUCUUCAUUUUCUAUUACUUUGUCUAUUUUGUGGUCCCAGCAGUUCUUGCUUACAGGCAAAUGGUACUUCUUGCGAAUAUUCCAAUGCGUCAUUGUUGCUACUUUCUCAUGCCAUUGUUUGUAUUCAGUCUGUGUGAUCUUCUUGCAGCAGCUAUCUAGGUGGUCCACUGUUUCUUCAGCUUCUUUGCAGAGGCAGCAAAGAAGUCUGCUGUUGACUUCUCUAUUCUGGCUUUGUGUGCAUUUGUUCUUAAGGCUUGGUUUUGUGCAAUCAGAAUUAACCCCUCUGUCUCUUUCUUCAGUUAUCGUAUUCUUAGCCAUUACUGUACCAGGUCUUGUUAUCCGCUUUGCCUGCCUUAAAAAAAAAUGCACUGGCCAUUGCCUUGCCAUGUUUUUUUCCCUUAUUCUUUAUUUGAUCUUUCUCGUAAGCCAGUUUAGUCUUUUCAGUACUUAAUAAACCUUCGUGGUACAUUAGCUUUAGUGCAUCUUUUUCUCUGUGCUUCAGAUAUUCUCCCAAUACAUUUUUUUCUUCUUUAAUUGUCUGGUAUACUUGCAAUAUUCCACACCCACCUAUUUUCCUUAUUAUUAUGUGUGAGUAAUCUACAGUUAGAUUCACAAUCUAAAACUGGAGGAAACAAUAAUUCAAGCCCUAAUCAAGGACUAAACAAUAGUUAAAGUAGUGUUUAAGAACACAGGCAGUUCCAAGUAGCAUGGGUUGGUUUGGUUUUGUCUUUUUUGUAAAAUUAGGUGUCAGGCUUGAUAAAUUCAAUGUUUCCAGAUAUCAAGGACAUCCUUUAGGUAUAUUAUUACUAUUCCGAGACUCAUACAAGGGAUGACCUACAGUACUUUCCCCAGUCAUAAGGAACAACUGGUUUAAAAUAUUAUAACGUUAGGCCUAAAACCAAGAACGAUGCAUAGUGAUGCUUCCAAGCUGCGUUCUUUAUCCUUUUCACACUUAUAAACAAAAUCCUGCCAGACUGAGGAAUCUACUAUCUGCAUCUACAAUAUGUUCUGUAAACUAUUAGAGAGGGGCUGUCUUCCUUGUCUUUCUCUCACAUGUAGUAACAUUCAUAUUGUGUUGCCUCAUAUUCUUCUGAAAUAUAUUCGCUCCCUCCUGGGACUCCACCUCCUUACUACAUUCCAUCAUAUAUGACAAGAUAAAGGUAGCAGCUUUUCGUAGACUUUAAAAUCCAGUCAAAGGUGUUCUGCUAGACGCUCUGUCAUCUUGGUGCUGGCACAUCAUUCAUUUCAUUAUGGGUUCUAAUUUGGUUGGUAUCACAACACUAUUACAUUUAUCUCUAUUUCAGCUUAGACUAAUUUAAUUGAUAGAAUUCUGUGUCCUUGCUAUUACAAGAGACAAUUAGCUCUCAUUAGUUUACAUUUCACUCAUUUUCUACUGACUGAUUGCACUACAUACUGAUACUUGCUAAUAUCAAUAUGUAAUGCAAUCAGCCUGAGGAAAAUGUCGGUACAGAGUCUCUACAAACUAUCACACUUAUUCUGAUUGUCUUCAAAGUACCAAUAUUUGCCUACAAUUUAAUAGUUUCAUAAUGCAAUAUUUGGUAUUAAGAGUUAUCAUUUGAAGGUCACAUCCUUCAUCAUAAUUGCUCAAAGCAAGAACUAAUGAAGAUUGCAACAUAUUCACAUGUUAUAUUUCCAGGAUGACCUUCAAAGAAGAGGAAGUGUUUGACAGAAGACUUUUUGUUUCUCUCUUCCUCUUUCUUCCACUUUUCCUCCUGGAUUCAUCUUUCCUCCCCUUUCCUUUGUUCAGGUCCUACAGCCACCCAAAUGGAGAGCUUUAGCUGAGCUGGAAUAAGCAGCUGAUGCUUUGUAGUCGAGGUGAAGAGGUCAUGCAAGUUGUGCUACUGUUAAUUUGCCCUCUAAGCCCUUCCAGCAGGGAGCCUAUCGUGGCAAGAAACGGAGCAAGGAGAUUUGCCUACCAGAUUAUUAUAUGAGAAAUACUAAAGAUUCAAAAGAAAAAAAGGGCAAGUAGGUUUUUUGUAACUCGUUUAGCAUAAUCCACUGAGCAGUCAAGGACACCCCUUAAUAAAUGCCCUGUAACUUUAGUCCAAUCAAAUGUACUUCUGUGUCCAUGUUUCUUAAUGUCUUGUUUUUGAGACAAAUGUGUUGUUGCGUGACACCUUGGGCGCAUUGUAUUCUUUUUUCUCUGUCUGUCUUUCUCCCCAGGUGUGUAUGUGGUGUUGUGUUUGCAUGUCGUUGAAAGCUUCUCACACCGUAUUAGAGAUUAUGUGGCGAAUAAUGACUGGAAAAAUAUACCUUUCUUUAAUAAGCCAUUUCAUGAUGGCAAAUAUCUUUCCCUCAAUCUUCACAGUUGGUUUUGUGCAGGUAUAUAAAAGUAAAAUACUUAGUCCCGAAGAAACCAGAAAGCAUAAAAUAAAGAGCUUUAGGCUGGAGAACUAAAUACAUGGUUUCAAACUAACAUUUUUCCCCCUUAAGAGCAAGCAAAAAUCAGGAUGUUUGAAUGCCACAGUUGCUAAAAUAAAUCUAUGAAUCAGGGCUUCCCUCAACUGGGCUAAGCCUUUAGGCAGAAACUAAUUGCUGCAAACACUAAUUUUCAGCUCCCUUUUGUCUCCUAUAGCAGGCACCUCUGGAUGCAGAAGGUACCCAAUUAGCAGAAUUCAUGGGCCUGAUUGUGUAUUGUGGGGCAAGUGUGUGAAUAGUAUAAACACUGCUGAUUACUAUUCCACUGUAACACUGUAAUGGCUGAUUUUUUUUUUGUUGAUUGCUUAAUAAGGCCAUCUAUUCUACAUCAGUCUCUGGCAAAGCUGCUGGGAAAUCAGCUAGGUCACUUUUCCUGGUCAUACUAGCAGAAGAAGCCUUGUGAUGCUAACAGAUGACUAAAGGCAUAAUUACAGGCUAUUUAAUCACAUCUGUUUCCCCACUUAACAUUGUUUGCUCAAGUUAGAUGUAGUUUUAAAAAAAUCAAAAGGACAAUAAUGGCAUACAGACUAAAAAAAUUACCAUUGCAUGGUUAAAACUCUAGGGCUUGUUAUAAUUACAGAAAACAGAGUUUACUGUGAUUUUAAAAGGCAUUAAUUUAUAUUAGUGUGUUUCUAUACACAUAUUGAGGAUGACUGGUUGUUUGGAGACGAGGGAGAGGAGGAGUGUAUUUCACUUGUACAUGCACUCUUGUGGGUGAAAUGAAGUUUUUAAUAGUAUUAUUUAAAUGGAAGUGCUGCUGAAUAUGUUUCAUUUGGAAACUAAAAUUAAAUUCAAGUUCAAGAUGACAGGUAUUUUCAUUAAGCAUUCUGAGAAAAAGUAUUCCUUUUUAUAUCACAUCUAAAAAAAUGAGGGUAGCCAUAUAUUAUUACAUUAUAAGGAGGGUCACCACUGGAAAAGCCAUGCCUUUCUGUGGGGAGAGCGUCUGGAAUAGAGCAACAUUCAAGCCCCAGUCAGUAGGAUUAUAGCUUGCAGACUGUCUUCAAGGAAUAGCUCAUGUAAAGGUAAUGCAAUAAUCUGAAUGAGAGAUAACCAAGGCAUGCGUAAUUGUGACCAUGAUCUCCCUAUCCAAGAACAGACAUCAUUUGCACCCAGUAGAGAUUUGUGCAAAGCCUCUUCAUGCUACGGUGUUCAUCUGCUCAUCAAGAAGGGAUUGAGAGUCCAAGAGACCCUAAAUUGCAUGCCAGUUUUGUUUGGGGAAGUGAACAUUUGAAACGUCCUCAAGUCCAUAGGAACAUUGCUAGAGUGGAGUCUGAACCUGCUUUCUCCCCAUCCAAAUUCCUACAAGCUCCAGAUAUUAGGACAAUCUCAGGGCACCUGCACAAAGCAUUACAAUUGUGAUUUCUUCCUGUCCUUGAGAUAGAACACAAAAACUGCUGCCUACACAGCCUACCUUUAUCAAUCUUUGAGGUCAGCCUGAUCAAGCUUGGUAUUUCGAGCUGGGAAGGCUGUUAAUUCCAACCUCAUUGGCAGGUUUCCUUUUUCCAAGGUUUCUCAGUAAAAGCUGCCACAGCAACAUGCAACCAUGGUUACAGUUACUGGGAAAAAUGCUUUGUUGCAAAAUUGCCAGCAUGCUCUCUGUUCACAAUCACAACUAGCAAAAAGUAUUUUAAAUGCAACAGAUGAAUCAGGUGGCUUUACAACUAUUCUUCAAAACCAACUGCUCAGAUAUGAUGAUGAUGAUGAUGAUGAUGAUGAUGAUGAUGAUGAUGAUGAUGAUGAUGAUGAUGUACCCAAUCAGUUAAGUGUACACAGUAGGUUCUGGAAACAUGAAUGUGGAAACAGGAAUUAAUUAUUUAUUUUAUUUGCUAUGGAUGGAUUGGAUAGGGAAUGUGACUGCAGUAAUUUGGCAUGGGGGGAGCAUUAAUUGAAUAACAGAGUGGAAAAGUACUGAUUUUUUUUCUGGCAUAUUGCCUGCAUUUCAGAAUUCACAGAAGUGUAGACAAUCGAUCACCAGCUUCAAACUGGCCAGUGAAACGUAAAGGAAUGAAAACUGUGUGAUGCCAGAGUUCCCUAAUUGACAGUGUAAACUUUUGCACAUCUCUCAAAAGCAAGCUACACCAUGUUACAAAUGAUUUCCAAUUGGGGCUCUGAAAGCUUCUGGGUCCUCUUGCCAUUUCAAGAUAAACCAUCAAAGCACUGGCCAAGAUGAGGAAAUCCAAGAGAUUUUCCUUUUAGGUUUCCUGGAUAACCAAAUUGAAAGACAACACAAGACUUUGUUUCUUUAUAUGACAAAAGAGAGAGAGAGACUUUUGUACGCACAGAAAUGGAAGGACUUACAAAUUCCCACAAUGGAAGAGCAGAUGGUGAAGUUAAUGGAAUUGGCUGAAAUGGUGAAAUUGACUAUUUGAUGCAAGAAAAGGCUUUGCUAAGCUUUGUUUCUACCUGGAGACUGCUUUUGGAUUUUUUGCUUGAAAUUGAAAGAAAUGAAACUUUAAUUUUGAGAUGUGACAGAAGUGUUUAUAAUUAUAGAAAUAAUGUGUGCUAUUCUUAAUCAUAGAGUAAAAAGUAAACGUACUUUAUAUUUAUCUCUGUACUGAAGAAAGCCAGAAGUUACUCUUUUCUUACUUUUUUCUUUCUUUUUCUUUUUUUUUGCAUUCUUAACUUCGUCUUUUUUA